rnacentral:sRNA from 1 species
GCUCCUUACACAUGCAAGUCACACGAGAAAGCGGGGGCAACCUCGUGAGUAAAGUGUUGUACCGGUGAGUAACACGUGGGUGAUCUACCUCUUAGUGGGGAAUAACGCUGGGAAACCGGCGCUAAUACCGCAUAAUCCCGGGAGGGGAAAGCAGCAAUGCGCUGAGAGAGGAGCCCGCGGCCGAUUAGCUAGUUGGCAGGGUAAAGGCCUACCAAGGCGAAGAUCGGUAGCCGGCCUGAGAGGGCACACGGCCACACUGGCACUGAAACACGGGCCAGACUCCUACGGGAGGCAGCAGUGGGACUCCUACGGGAGGCAGCAGUGGG